rnacentral:lncRNA from 1 species
AAUUUCCAGAAAGGCCUGGAGCUGAAGAAAGACAAUUUUUUCAGGAUUUUGGACAGGAAGGGGAGUUUAGAGAUUGGCCUAAAAUUUGAUAGAACUGAUGCAUUGAGAUUGUUUUUUUGUAGAUGCAGUUGUGCAGUUCAGUGAUGAUUAAUCAGCUCCUGUGUGGAAGUCACUGAAUGAGGUGAUAUCUUCCUUCCCUGGUGGAAUCUGACGCCUCAAAUGGCUCCUUGUGCUAAUGGAGUUAGAUCAGCCAUUAGCAAAGCAGAUUGAUUCAUUACACUAAUGUUAAUUUUCAAAAAAGGCCUGGGUCAUGUAGCAGCCAACAACUCCUCCAGAGUGUCACGACCUGCAGGAUCGGCAAGGCGCUGAUCAGAACCUCUCCACUCCUAGCCACCCUUCUCUUCUCUUUUUCUUCUCUCUCUCCCUCUCCCCUUCUCUCCCCU